rnacentral:lncRNA from 1 species
CAGGAACUCAACUCUCUGUAGAUUUCUGGACCACAUCCUUGGAGAUCCUUAUUCAGAAGGUCUCUUUGGGUCCCAGACCUGCAUUUUACACAGCCCCCAGGGAUCUGCAAACCAGGUGUUUCUCUGAGCGCACGUUGAAAAGCAGGGAAUGGAUGGCAGGGUUAAGGCCUCCGUGUACCUCCAAGAGAAAGGCUUCCAAAUGCUGCUUUGAAAGGCAAAAACCAGGGGAGUCUGGCCUGCUAAGUAUGGCCACUCUGGAGGCAAUGGUUCCCAGCUUGAGUGGCCUAAACGUCACUGGGGGGACUCGUUAAAUUGCAGAUUUCCGGAUCCUGCCACAGACCUUUAUUUUGUAUUUCUUUUUGAGGAAGAUUAGCCCUGAGCUAACAUCUGCUGCCAAUCCUCCUCUUUUUUACUGAGGAAGACUGACCCUGAGCAAACAUCUGUGCCCAUCUUCCUCUAGUUUAUAUGUGGGAUGCCUACCACAGCAUGGCUUGCCAAGUGGUGCCAUGUCUGCACCCGGGAUCCGAACCGGUGAAUCCUGGGCCGCUGAAGCUGAACAUGCAAACUUAACUGCUGUGCCACCGGGCAAGCCCCCUGCCACAGACCCUUUGCCUCACAGUCUCUUGGGGUGGUCUGUCGGGGACCCCACCUGGAGAUACGCAGGCCAGCAGAUUGUCUGUGACCCAGACUUUCAUCUCUUGGCCACAGUGACCUCCUCUCUGACCUCUGAAAUCUCAAAAACACUGAGAGUCCCACCCAGGGUCCCAUCUCCUUAUUGAUCCGAACCCUGGGACGCUGCAGCAGAGUGUGCGAACUUAACCACUCGACCACGGAGCCAGCCCCCGGACAGAAUUUUCUUGAAACAACCAGGAUUGCAUUCUCAGAAAGAGGUUUUUAUUUUUGGAACACUUCUAUGUCACAGAUCAUGGCUCUGACCAUGACCUUUUAAGAAUGGAGAGAUAUAUACACUUUAGGGAACUGAAAGAAGGAUGUGGGCUCCCCAGAGUUUGCCCUUGACUGCUCCUCCUGCAGGACUGCUGGCCUCCUGAUGCCUUAAGCCCAGGAAAGCCGGCCUCCUCCACCCAGUCUCCUAACCCUGGCCAUGCAUCUA